GAGAGUGCUGUCUACGAGUGUGAUUAUCGGUCAAUAUAAUGUGACUGUAAUUGAUUCGUGGUUGGAAUAUGAGGAGUGAAUUCCACGAGGAAGGAAGGGAGGUCAAUAUAAUGUGACUGUAAUUGAUUCGUGGUUGGAAUAUGAGGAGUGAAUUCCACUAGGAAGGAAUGGAGCAAGGUCAUGUCCUAAAUAGGAUACUGUGAGGCUGGUUCACCUAGAAGCAGUGGAGAUGGUGUUGAAGCUGCGUGACAUCAAGUGAAGGAUCUGCAUCACUGCCUGUGAGAACAUGGAGAGCACUUUGGACUAAGAACGUGGAGUAUUACUGCUGACAGACAUAAUAAGGUAACAAGCUAACUGUGAUGUCUUUUUUUUUAUGUCGGAGCUUGUGGGCAUUUUUCAUCCAGGCCAUACGUAACUGUAGACUGGGCAGGCUUAAGCAGGACAAUCUGAUUUCCAUUGCUAUAGGAAAUAUAACCUCAGAACAUAGCAUUGCUGGUACAGCCUAGCUGAACACCAUGUUGGACAUGGAAAGAUUAGAUUUGCCAGUAUUUUCAAAGAAAUGUAUAAUAUUUCAAUAGUGGAACAUGCACUUCAAGCAUAAUUUAUUAAGGUUCUGAAGAAUGCAUGCAGGUUUUAACGUGCUUGUGUUUAUGACACAGUGCUAUAGAAAUUUCACAUCUGUUUUGCAGUGAUAUAAUGGUAUAAGAAUCCAGUGACAUAUUGGCAUGGCUCUUCAGUUUUACUGAAGUUUGAUGUGUUUAUGGGCCCUGCAAAACAGUGAUGAUACAAAAUUUUAGCCCUGUAAGUAUCUAAGGGGAAUUCAGAAUUCCUAAAGGAAGUGACACUUUUACCUCGAAAUGUGAUAUCUUUUGUAAUUACUGAAGGGGUUCACAGAAAUCUUAUAAUUUGCAGCUGGAAUCAUGUGAAUCUACCAGAGGAAGUGUGAAUGAAACUAAUAUAUGACAUAUUGGCUUUGUACCUUAUUUUCUCAAAUGGAGACAUUACAGAAGAUGUGAUUUAGGUACACUGUCUCAAAAAUUCCAAGUGAAUAAUAUGUAAUGUUAUUUAAAAAUGUUACCUACACUUGAAUGCUGGACACUUCAAAUCCUUGGGACUGGGCAGAGAUGGUGUUCGUAGAGCACAAAUGAGUACUUAAUUUGCAGUUACCACUGAACAAGUAAAAAAUUGUUACUAUUAUCUCUAUUUCUUCAGGCAUCCAAAAACCCUUUUGAGGGUACGAAGAUCUGCAUGGGCAAUCCCUAUACCAGGCUACUGUAAUUACUGUUAUCUGGUGUGUCCAGUUACAGUUAACACACAAUUUCUUAUGUGUGGGACUUGAGAUAUUUUGGGUCUUUGUAAAGUGGGGUGGAAGUAGGGAAAUAUACAUUUUGCUCAGAAGAAUUUUGAUGAUACAUUGUUCGAGUAAUUCAUUGUUCCCUUUGGUGACGAAGCUAACCUAUGUCAGACAUAGGCAUUGCAAACUGCAUAUGAUUAUCUAUCAGAUGAGCACAAAAUUAACUCUAGUACAAUUAGGACUACUGUUACAUACAGGCUGUGUUGGCUGUGAAACAGUUACCGCAGGUAAAGGGCCCAAAGGUCAUGGUUUCACCCUUUCCUGUAGGAUCUACAAACUCACCAAUUUCAUUUUGCUGUGUAGAAUGCUAGAGUUUCAUGUGUUCAUGUGUGAUGCAAUGAAAUACUUUCCUAAGUGUUUCAUGUUGUUUGCAGUGUGUAGAUGUGUAAGACAACAUUAUUUACAGUGCUUCAUUGUAAUUAGUGGCGAGAUAAUAAAAUUCUUUUUAUCAUCUGAUGGGGACACAGCUUC